GAUGAAGAACGCAGCGAAAUGCGAUACGUAGUGUGAAUUGCAGAAUUCAGUGAAUCAUCGAAUCUUUGAACGCACAUUGCACCUCUCGGUAUUCCGGGAGGUAUGCCUGUUCGAGCGUCAUUUGUACCCUCAAGCUCUGCUUGGUGUUGGGUGUUUGUUCCGCCUCUGUGUGUGAACUCGCCUCAAAACAAUUGGCAGCCGGCGUACUUGUUUCGGAGCGCAGCACAUUUUGCGAUCCAGAUCAACGUACAGCGGCAUCCAAGAAGCCUUAUUUAACGCUCUUGACCUCGGAUCAGGUAGGGAUACCCGCUAAACUUAAGCAUAUCAAUAAGCGGAGGA
rnacentral:misc_RNA from 1 species